AUAUGUCAAGAGGUUGUAAGGUACUUGAAUCAUUUGAUCAUCAGGUAGUUUGUGUCCAUCCCACAGAAACAAUGCAUCGAGCUCUGCCCAUAUAUCUAAGUGUCUUUUUUGAUUAGCUCUGUCUUUUCUGGAGGUUCCUGGUGUGCCAACACGGCAAGAGCCCGAGCAGCUGCCCUGGGUUUGGACCUCCCUAGGACCCAGUUUGUCCCUUACCAUCUUCGACCAACACGCCAUAGAAGUUUUGAUCCCAUAAAAACCCACUAUGAAAAUAAUUAUGGUCCCAAUAGCA